AGAAACCCAAAAGAUCGAAUGGGGAGAUUCAUCGUCAGCUCACUUUGUAUAUGUAUAGGUUAUGAUGCGAGUUACUCNUUGUAGUAUUGCUUGUACAUACUUGUAUAUUUAUUUGCAAGGUGUUGUCGGCGUGCACUUCUCCCCUAGUAGGACGUCGCGACCCGUUGGGUGUUGGUUUACGACCCGAGUNGGGAGACUUNUAAUAUUUUNAUAAUAUUAAAGACCCUUGGUGUUUUCUAACCGGCUGCCCGGCGGUAUUCGUACGGUAUUUAGCCGCAUUUANUNUUGCGUCCAUGUUCGUUGCAAGCGCGGCUAAUUUCUGGUAGUACGGACCUAGUGCCGUCGCUGGGAUUGGCCAGCUGUUGGUUGACGAAAUUCUAGGACUGGCUAAAAUUAAUUACCGGUCGGCGAUGCUACUGCUUUGGGUACUUUCAGGACCCGUCUUGAAACACGGACCAAGGAGUCUAACAUGUGCGCGAGUCAUUGGGAUUUU
rnacentral:rRNA from 1 species